rnacentral:rRNA from 1 species
GCGCCGAGGACUCAUCGGGAACGGAUGCUAGUACCGGAUGUGCCGAAAGGUCCAAGGUUUGCUGCCUGAAGAUGAGCUCGCGUCUGAUUAGCUAGUAGGUGGGGUAAGAGCGCACCUAGGCGACGAUCAGUAGCUGGUCUGAGAGGAUGAUCAGCCACACUGGGACUGAGACACGGCCCAGACUCCUACGGGAGGCAGCAGUGGGGAAUUUUCCGCAAUGGGCGAAAGCCUGACGGAGCAAUACCGCGUGAGGGAGGAAGGCUCUUGGGUUGUAAACCUCUUUUCUCAGGGAAGAAUACAAUGACGGUACCUGAGGAAUAAGCAUCGGCUAACUCCGUGCCAGCAGCCGCGGUAAUACGGAGGAUGCAAGCGUUAUCCGGAAUGAUUGGGCGUAAAGCGUCCGCAGGUGGCAAUGAAAGUCUGCUGUUAAAGAGUGAGGCUCAACCUCAUAAAAGCGGUGGAAACUACAUAGCUAGAGUACGUUCGGGGCAGAGGGAAUUCCUGGUGUAGCGGUGAAAUGCGUAGAGAUCAGGAAGAACACCGGUGGCGAAAGCGCUCUGCUAGGCCUGUACUGACACUGAGGGACGAAAGCUAGGGGAGCGAAUGGGAUUAGAUACCUGGGAACAAUCAAAAAAGGGGGGGGGUACCCCGACCCCAUU